UGAUUCCUUUAAAGUUUUUUUUUUUUUUUUUUUUUUUUGUGGUUGCUUUUCCCCUGAUUUACAAUCCAAUCAUCUGAAUGUGGCAGCAUGUCAUGCUUAAAAGAAUAAGACAAUCUGACAAAUGGAGAACAAAAAUAAAAUAUGUCAGGCAUACAUGCUAAAGCAGAAGAAAAGUAUCUGAAGGGUAUGUCUUAAAAAAAAAUAUAUAUAUAUAUAUACAAAAUAAAAAAUCUCCAGCAAAGUCAUUUGUCAAGAUUUCAGCCAAUAUGGCAUUUAAGAACGACCUUGUUGGUGUUAAAAUACUCCAUUAUGUCUGUCAGACUUGUUUACUUCAUAUAUUCAACCAUAGAAAUAGGAAUAAAGCGUGCCUUUGUGACAGGCUGCUGCUAACUAAGAGUCUAAAGGUCCAAUUUAAACUUGACUCUUUGUGAGGUUGUCUCUGGACAAACUGUUGGUUCUUCUUUUAACGCCGGGAUGAUUCAUAGGUCAGAGUUAAGUGCCUUAAUAAAUAAAAGGGUCAGGUGCUGAACCUAAACACGACAAAACAGAGAGCAAUUCAAGACAAACUGAAAGAUUUUCAGAAAGCCGGAAGAAAUAUCGAUCCUAAACACUUUAUAAGAUUACAUGAAAGUCUGGCUCCCUGGGAAAAUAUAAAGUGAUUACUUUUUUUUUUUCUUUUGUUUUUAACAAAUUGUCCCACUGGCUCCCAGCUGUGCUUUAAAAUUAAAUUAAGGCCAUUUGAAAUGGGACCCACACUCAGAUUAAAGAUUAUACAACAGAACAGACUCGUACUAGUCACAGUGACUUGCAAAAGUUUUUAUGCGUCUUAAAUUAUUUCAUGAUUUGUCACACCAUGGCCUCAAAGCUUAAUGUUUCUAUGAUGAUGAUUAAGUGUUGUGGACCGACGUAAAGCCGUACGUAGCUGGGAGAAUCUGUUGGCAGGCCAAAUACUGGUAGUGCACUCCACAACUUUUGCCUUUAUGGAAAAGCAACAAGAAGAACGACGAAGUAAAUGACAAGAGCUUUCUUUUGUUUUCACCUAACUAGAGCAUUCAGUCUGUUCCAGCUGAAAAAAAAAAAAACAACAUCCCCGUAGCAUGAUAAUGUCACAAUACAUUGUGUACGUCACAUUAAAACCUAGUAAAACAAAUCAAAUUUUGCUGUUGUUAUGUAACAAAAUGCGGAGAAGGCUCAAUGGAAACUUGCCACAAGCCGAAUGAGUUGGGAACCAGUGUCUAGCAGAGAGAGCACUGUCUUAACAAACAUAAUCCUGACGGGAUACAUUGGCAGAAAUGUGUCCUCCAUGUGUGAUUUCGGUUGACACAUACUGCUGUGACGUGUGUGCUUCAUGUCAUUCAGUGACUGUUUGUACAGAGCGGCGUCUGCUCAGGUGUGUGACAGCUCUGUGGGUGGACACUUUUCUCUGUGAGGCAGUGGCGUGGACGUCUAAUGUCUGACAGACGCUCAGAAGGCCCCCUUUGGUUUUCUAUUUCUGUGUUGGCUGUAGAAGAAGGAGUCCUGUGCCAGACAAACUUGAUUGUUUUUUUAUUUUUUUUGUUUGUUUGUUUGUUUGUUUGUUUUUUUUGUCCUGGCACAAGGCACAAAGCUGUUGUGAAGUGGGUCUGCUUUUCGUCUUUGAGGUCCCCACGGGGUUACCAUGUCUCUCUGUGUUUCAUCACUGUUUUCUUUAAAUGUGGCGUUUUACCCUUUGUGUCCUCUGUGUGGCCCCAGAGUGCUCUGAAGUCCCACCGAGCACUGUCAUGUCGAGUCAAAAGAUUUCUCUAAGCUGUGAACAUGUCAGUUAUGGCACAUUUAAACUGCAUGUUAACUAAGCUUUUCUGUUUUUUGCUCCUCUUUUGAAUCAGAUGCAUGCCUCUCGACUCAUCUGCAUGCACAGAAAAGUCAUUCCUUGUUGCUGCAAAGGCUCUACUUUAUCUGUCUUUCUUUCACUAAUUUAUUUCAAUCCUUUUUAAUCUCCUCUUUUCUGAUUAACACCAUUCCUGCUGCCUCCUUCUGUAAAGGAAAAAAAAAAAAAGUGGCACUUAUCUCUAGUGUUGCGUUGCGUUGUUUUAUCACAUUAUGUUGGUUGGCAUGAUUUUUAGAGUCAAAUAAUCUUCCUGUGUACAUCUUCUAGCAUGACCCUCCUCCUCAGAGCUCUGCCUCAUUUGCACAUAGAGCAGCCUUCCUUAGCACGUCUUCUGCGAGGUCUGCAUGCACUGCACGCUCAACUCGACUGUGAAGUGGACAGGCAUCUGCACCUGAUCUAAACAAAACCCUCAGCUAAACAAAAAACAUGCAACCUGACAACCUGUUAACUCCACACACUUCUAAUUCGGGCCUUUUCCGCUCCUGCAUUCCUGCCUAUUCACAGGUUUAAAGUUGAUUUUUUUUUUUCUCUUAAAGGUAUGAUUUACCAUUUCUAUCAGAGAUGUGUGCUGUUCUCUGGGAAGCAAUGAGCCGAAGCAAACCGCAGAAAGAAAAAAAAAUAAUAAAACAGCUCCAAGAAAACAGCACCCUGCUCCCCUCUGCCUGCUAACCAUUUACUCACUCUCAUCCUAUUUUCUUUCGCUAAUGAACUCCUAUCACGAGUAUAAUUUCAUUUUCCCCCGCAGUUGUUUCGUAUCUGCUGUGUCGGGCGUUUCCGACGCAGCUCAGCAUUUCCACUUGAAUAAAUUAUAAAUAAAGGCUAAGUAAUUGCCUUCAGUAAAAGAUGGGCCAUGCAAAUUUUUUUUUUUUUUUUUUUUUUUUUUUACAAAAUAUUGAUUUCAACAUUUUCUAGGAGUUGAAAAGGUAAUUGCAGUUUAAAAAACACAUGAUUCUUCUAGCACUUUUACAACUUGCUUCUGUUUUGCCAACUCCCUCCAGCGGGCGCAGAAUCAGUGAGCACCUUUAAGAAGCUCUUUCUGAGUCAUCUGUGAGGACUUUUUGGGGAAAUAAUAACUAGAACAACCAGUUUUAUUUGUAGUAGAAGCUGAGAGACAGUCAAGUUUUUUGUUUUUGUUUUUUUGUAAUUUAUCUGCAGUUAGCGUAGAACAUUCUUUAUAGUUGUUGACAACCCUGGAAAAGAUGUGAAAAUCAGCUUUUAUAUAAAUGUGUUUUUUAUUGCAGUAUUUUUAUAAGUAAUCUUAUAUUAAGAAAUGUACUUUUUUUAAAUAUCAGAUUAUGUAUACACUCUGAAAAGUAACAUUUCAGAAGGUGGGACAAUAAGGCAGAUAUUUAUUUUUCGCAAAUUGAAUAGAUUGACCAGCAGCCUGCACCUGCUCUUAAGCUUUUGUCUCGCUGUUUUUCUACUAGAUUGAAGAAAGAUAAAGGCUAAAGAAGAAGGUUGAUUUUACGUCUGGUGAAGCAUUUUCAUCAAGAUUUGGGUCACUGCAAUGUAAAUUACCCCGAUAAUUACCUGCUUUCAGUUUUUCCGUUGGAGUCCUCCAGAACUGUACUUAAAUUCUCCUGGCAUUUCAAAGAGCUCAUGAUGCCAUGAGAGACUUUGGAAGGCAAACAGGCCCACAGCAUCACAGAUCCUCAUACAUGCUUAGCAAUGGGCAUGGGAUUCGCGUGCACAUUUUAAUCUUUUGGAUAAACCUGAUCUACCAGGGCUAAUUUGUCCUGGUGAUCUAAGUACCUUAAGCUAAUCUCCAAAUGGUUUUGUUUGUAAUGAUCAGACAAAGAGGGCUGGUUCUUGGCAUGCUUCCCAAUCCAAUAGUUAGUAUGGAUAUAGUGUUUGGAUAUUUAGAUAGUAUGGAGUUUGUGUAAAUUCAAGAUGCCACUCUUUGCUGCAGUUUCAACACACCAGAACACGAACCGGUACUGGAAAAGAGGUUUUUUAUUUAUUUGUUUGUUUUUGUUUUUUUUUGGAAAACCGUAAUACAAACGAAGGGACUUCCACUGACAGGAAGCAGGAAGGCGUCCUCUAAAAGUCUAAACUAACUUUCUGAUUUUCCGUGCAGGAGAUUUUAGUGCUCCAACUAUGAGUUUUGAAGAUGUCUUUAACCUCCCUUAUUGUGUGCUGUGGAAAAAUACAUUUGGGUUUUUGUCCAGCCUUGUUUGCCACCUUUCCAGUUUAUACAUGUUUUAAUUAUUGGUCUAACUGCAGAAAAGGGCACAUUUGGAUGAGUGACUUAUUUCUUGUCAUUAUUUCCUGACCCACGGUGAGCAACACACACCUGCCUUACUUUAAAUAGAAUGUUCUCUGGUCUUUCCCAUUUUGAAGUUGUUAGUUGCAUAAUAUUCUGCAACAUUGUCAAUGUUAGUGAAUAGUAUGGUAAAAAAAAAAAAAAAGAUUAAUGAAUCCUUUCAAACUCUCUUUUACACCUAAAUAAAGUGAAGUCCAAAUUACUGAUAAUUAUUCAGUCGCAUUUACUACGUAGGAAUUAGCGUGCUACCAGUUUUCUUUUAAAUUACGGUGGAUUUUCUAAGUGAAUUAUUGCACUAAAAUUAAAUGUUUAAAGUGUUUUUCAUUAUAAAAUCAUCAUACUGCAGUUAAAGAUGAAUUCAUUCAAGGUUUGCUAUUCAUAUCCUUACCAGGGGUGUCAAUAAGUGUAGGCGGCAUUGUGACUGGAUCCUUUUCCAAUGUUUUCGUUUUGUAAAUUUCAUUGGUAGUAGCUAAAACCUUCAGUUAAAUAAUUUUCAGUAGCUGCUCAAUCGGGCUUUUAAGACUUCAUGAAAGACUCACUUUGACAUUUAAAAAAUGCACAUAUUUCUGAGCCGGAUUAUAUAUACUCUCCUCGACUUCUGUCUGUCUUAUAUCCGAGGCUGGAUCCAGGACACACUGGCUUAGUUUAUACAUAAACAAGAAAAUGGCCAAUCUGUCUCCACCCAGCAGUAACCAAAUCCUCCAACUGGGCCGUAAGCUCUUAUUGUGUAAUCACUGCUGCGCUGAACUAUUUCGGAGUAACAAUCUGGAGCUUCUUCCUUGGAGACUGUAUGGAGUGGAUCAAAGAAACUGCAAGCUUCUGGAAGGAUUUUGUUACUUUUUGGGCAGAGCUGGGCUCAAACUAAGCCACCUAAAAGCACCAGGGAUCAGAGCUUCAGCAUCUUCUAAUUUAUCAAAAUGAACCAAACAUGCUGUUUCUGGAAAUACAGCUAAUCCCAUGCUUCAAGUUGGCAACAAAGAUGGAGUAGGUUCAGCAGUUUCCUUGAGAAAUGUCUGUCUUGUUGCUACAAAGUGUGCAGUUUCUGCACCCAGACCUCAAUGUGCAGACACACUGAAUUUUAACCAUAUGCAUAAUAAUUUAUUUACUACUCAAACACUGCAGCAGUGAUGGUAAAUAAGUACAAGUCAUACAUAUAAACAGAUUUUAGGAAUUGUCCAUGCUAAAAGCAAAUGGAGACAAAAGUUGAUCUGAGGCUUAUAAUCAGCAGACAACAUCUUACCUGCUGUGUACUUUGACUCUAUACCUGAAAAUGUUCUUACCUCCGCUAAAGCUAAUAUUUGAUGCAAUAUGUUGGUUUUCUUGGAUGGAAAUCGAUUCUGACAUUUUGGAAUAUAUUUGAAUCAAUCUGGAUUCUUUGAUCAGACCAUAACCAUGACAUUGAAAUGAGUUGCAGUUGUCAUAAGAUACCUGAAAUUUGUUCUGGAACUAGCUGUACUCUGAUUAGCCAGUAGCUCAACUCUCCAGGCAGAACCUUUUGAUGUUUCUCCAAGCUCAGAUGGGAGUUGCUGCUGCAAACUCUGCAGCCUGAAUAAAAUCAAUCUAUCUUGUUUAGCAGUUAGGUGAAAUUUGAUGAUCCACAGAAAUUGCUGACCUUCUGUAAGAGAUAACACUUUACCCUAUGCUACAAAAUUGGUUCAACAUAUCUCUCAAUUUUUUUAAAGAGAUAUGGCAAAACUAACUCAAACAGUGCCAUCAAAUGAUAAUUCUCUGUCACUGCUUUACCAGGCAUUUGUCACCGCAGAAGCUGAGCUGCGACAGAUAUUUUGGGAUACUUUGAAAAGAUUCUGUCACAUAAACAUUGCAGCUCUCACAUGUCCUUUGCAUUGCGCAUGUGGGACCUUUGCCACAGCAUUUACACGACCGCUCCUGAAUAAAUAUAAGACAAAAGAAAUGCACAGUCUGUGCUGAUGAAUAUUAAUUUACCUCAUCAUGCUGGAUGCUUGAAAGUGGAAUUAAAACUGAUAACUUUAUUUAUCUUUUGAUCAGUUUGGUUAAGAGCUUUCUGACCAUUUGAGGGUAUUUAUUCUAGGACAGCCAGUUCAUCUUUAAAUAAGAAAAGAAAAAAAAAAAAGAUGUCACAGCAAAAGUAACAUUUUGACAGAGGAAUAUUAUGAAUGGUGCUUAUCCAUAUCCACCAUUCAUAACGGGAACACAUGAAAAGUGAUCGUCGUACUAAUUCCGGCUGCUUUAAAUAUUCUUUGCACAGAGACAACAGAUGAAAAAUAACCUUUUGGAUAAUUAUGGCACGUCUAGAAAAAAUUUUAAUUAAUGUGCAUAGUCUCUACCAAAUAAAUUAACUUAAAUUAUCAACAAAGGUAAAACCAAUGCAGUCCAAAAAGCAAAUGCAUUGCCUUUUAGUUAUUUUUAUUGCCAUCCAGACUUAUAAUAUUACAUUUAAAUUACCCUGCUCCAGAGUAGCUUAGCUACCAUAGCAACAAAGCCAGCUAAGAAGUGAAGCCACGGUGUUGUGGUACUGAAAAUCCUGACUCUAUUUGGAUAGACCACUAAUUCUGCUUUGAAGCCCAGCCCCCUGAUAUCAUCUGAGAACAAAGUGACAUAUUAUGAAACAUUGUUUUCUCAACCUACUGAAGAUGACGACAAAGAGACACAGCAGCUAACUUGAACUUCUUGAGUUUCUUUACAUUUCUUUAAAAGAUGCCAUUUGUCCCAUUUUUACUUUAGUUUUGGCAUGUGUUGCUGUUUUUAUUUUUUUUAGUUUUCUGUGGCUUCUUCUUUUAAUGACAAUGUUGCAUCUAAUUGUGGCUAAUUUCUAAUCAGCUUCCUUCAUUUGUAUAGCACCAAUUCACAACAAUUUGUUUUCUAAAGUUAGGCUGCAGGACAUUAGAAAUCUUGCGAUGGAGAUAAUAUUAGUAAUUUCUCCAAUGACAAUAUCAGGUGUGGAAAAAAAGCCUAUUUUCUUCUUUCCUCUCUUUCUGAUCUGUGCUCCCAUCACUCUUCAGCAUUUUAUUCAAUGUCCAUGUGUCCAGUGCUCCCAUAAGGCUGAGUUCAGUUGGUUAAGUUUCACAUUAAUAUGCAACAUAAAAUUAUAUAACAAUUGGAAUAUACUACACAACAAUUAUUGCAUUUCAAACAAUCCUUUGCGAUGUGAAUAUUGCACCUCGAUAUUGCGAUCCUGAUGUCUGUAGUAUAUCGUCCAACCUUGAUAUUAAGGAACUUUAAAAAUACAUAAAACUAUGAAGUGAAACUGAGCUCAUUGUUAAACUUACAGAAAGUUGGUUAAGUAAGCCUGGUUACAGUCAGGAAGGACUGGAGAAAGAAAAACACAAACAGCCUGAGAAAGGAAUAUUUUCUCUGAUAAAGAGGAACAAAGUAGCUUAAUUUAGGAAAGUCACAGCUAAGGACAGAAACACUACAGUAGGUGAGCCUUCUAUGCAAAGAAACACAAAGCCAGGAAAUGCAUGUAAAAUCAGCAAUAAUAUCUAAUGUGCAUGAAGAGGAGAAGAUAGCAAAAUGGGGAAUGUGAGCAAUAUGUCCACCUUUCUACAGAGACGGCUCAGGAUAAACUCUUAGUAAUCUUUAUCAGAAGUGAACAUUAGAAUCACUUGUUAAACAUUUUGUGCAAAUUCACCUCAGACUGGAAAUUCUUUGUAACUACAUGAGUCAGAAAAACACAGUUAUCCCCAAUCAGGCUUAAUAAAUAUGCAAAAUUUACACCAAUUGUUUGUUCUAUUUUCAAACUAACAAUCUUUACUUAAAUUAGCAUUAGCUUGAAAGCAAAAACAUAGCUUUUCAUGUAAUUGUAAAUGAAUUCAGAUAGUAAAGAUUUAAGUCUUAUGUUUUUGGUAAUAUACUAACAGAGUGUAUAUUUCUUGUACGACUCCCUUAUUUUGCCUUUUUCCACUAUUUACAGUCUGAGGUUUUAUUAAAGCACACAUAAGGUGCCCUGCAGAAGUACUCAUAUCCCUUGAACGCUUUCAGACUUUGUCACAUUACAACAACAGACUUCAAUGUAUUUUAUUAGGAUUUUAAGUAUUGGAAUAAUUUUAUUCUUUGAAGAAAAGCAUCCCUGCAGCAUGAUUCAGCCACCACCAUGGGAAGCCCAAUAAAGACCUGGUCAUUCAGGUCAGAGGAAAGCAAUCUUAAACAUUUUGCAAUACAUGUGCAGAAGAAAAAAUAACACUGCACAUCCUUAUGAACACAGUGAAGGCAGCAUCAUGCUCUGGGGAUGCUUCUCUUCAACAGGGAUUGGGAAGCUGCUCAAAGUUGAUGAAAUGAUGGAUUGUGCUAAAGGUGUUAGCGGAUGCUAAACAGUUGGCACAAUUGCAAAGAAAAAUUAGCAACAAUUGUCUAGAAGUGCAAAUUUGUUAGAAACACACCCCAACGCUGUAACUGCAACUGAUGUUGGUUCUACAAAGUAUUGAGUCGUGGGAGCUGAAUGCAAA